rnacentral:misc_RNA from 1 species
GAUGAAGAACGUAGCGAAAUGCGAUAAGUAAUGUGAAUUGCAGAGUUCAGUGAAUCAUCGAAUCUUUGAACGCACAUUGCGCCCGUCAGUAUUCUGACGGGCAUGCCUGUCCGAGCGUCAUUAUCACCCCUCAAGCCCCCUUGGCUUGGUGUUGGACGGUUUUGGUGGGGACGUGCAGCCUCUCACCCCUCCUAAAGACAAUGACGGCGGCGUCGUUGGGACCCCCGGUACACUGAGCUUCUUAACUGAGCACGUACUGGACGCGGGUACGCGACGCACGGUCUGCCUCCCCUUUAAGGGAGAACUUUUUCUUAAGGUUGACCUCGGAUCAGGUAGGAAUACCCGCUGAACUUAAGCAUAUCAAUAAGCGGAGGA